UACGGAGGGUGCAAGCGUUAUCCGGAUUUACUGGGUUUAAAGGGUGCGUAGGUGGGUCUGUAAGUCAGUGGUGAAAUCUCCGGGCUUAACCCCGGGAAAUUGCCAUUGAUACUAUAGGUCUUGAAUCAUCUGGAGGUAAGCGGAAUAUGUCAUGUAGCGGUGAAAUGCUUAGAUAUGACAUAGAACACCAAUUGCGAAGGCAGCUUACUACGGAUGUAUUGACACUGAGGCACGAAAGCGUGGGGAUCAAACAGGA
rnacentral:rRNA from 1 species